AGCGAACGUUUGCGGCGGGCUCAACACAUGCAAGUCGAACGAGAAUCCCUUCGGGGAGGAAAGUGGCGCACGGGUGCGUAACACGUGGAUAACCAACCCAUUGGUUUGGGACAACACCGGGAAACUGGUGCUAAUACCAGAUGUGUCGCAGCUGUCUUCAGGCGGUUGCGAGAAAGGCCCGCAAGGGUCGCCAACGGACGGGUCCGCGUCCCAUCAGCUAGUUGGUGAGGUAAUGGCUCACCAAGGCAAAGACGGGUAGCUGGUCUGAGAGGAUGAUCAGCCACACUGGAACUGAGACACGGUCCAGACUCCUACGGGAGGCAGCAGUGGGGAAUAUUGCGCAAUGGGCGAAAGCCUGACGCAGCCACGCCGCGUGAGCGAUGAAGGUCUUCGGAUCGUAAAGCUCUGUGGGGGGAGAAGAAGAAAGCCGGUGAAGAGCCGGCCCUGACGGUAUCCCCUUAGCAAGCACCGGCUAACUCCGUGCCAGCAGCCGCGGUAAAGU
rnacentral:rRNA from 1 species